GAUGAACGCUGGCGGCGUGCCUAAUACAUGCAAGUCGAGCGAACAGACGAGGAGCUUGCUCCUCUGACGUUAGCGGCGGACGGGUGAGUAACACGUGGAUAACCUACCUAUAAGACUGGGAUAACUUCGGGAAACAGGAGCUAAUACCGGAUAAUAUAUUGAACGGCAUGGUUCAAUAGUUAAAGACGGUUUUGCUGUCACUUAUAGAUGGAGUCGCGCCGGAUUAGCUAGUUGGUAAGGUAACGGCUUACCAAGGCGACGAUGCGUAGCCGACCUGAGAGGGUGAUCAGCCACACUGGAACUGAGACACGGUCCAGACUCCUACGGGAGGCAGCAGUAGGGAAUCUUCCGCAAUGGGCGCAAGCCUGACGGAGCAACGCCGCGUGAGUGAUGAAGGUCUUCGGAUCGUAAAGCUCUGUUAUUAGGGAAGAACAAAUGUGUAAGUAACUAUGCACGUCUUGACGGUACCUAAUCAGAAAGCCACGGCUAACUACGUG
rnacentral:rRNA from 1 species